UUUCUCUUUUUUGUUUACAACAGGUGACUAUGAUUCUGUAUGAGGUCCUGAGAUUAUAUCCACCAGUUUCUGCGCUAGUUCGACAGAUAAACAAGGAAAUUACUCUGGGAGAUAUCACCUUACUACCAGGAAUGCAAAUUGCGUUGCCGAUCGAUAAGUCAAAUUCAUCAUGAUCAUGAUAUUUGGGGGGCUGAUGCAGAAGAGUUUAAACCUGAAAGAUUCUCAGAAGGCGUUUCAAAAGCCACAAACAAUCAUGUAGCUGCAUUUUUUCCAUUUGGUGGGGGGCAAGGAUCUGCAUUGGACAAAACUUUGCUUUACUAGAAGCAAAACUAGCCAUGGCGACGAUCUUAAGAAAGUUCUCCUUCGAGCUUUCACCUUCCUAUAAGCAUGCCCCUGUCAAUAAACUUAUACUCUCCGUCCCGAAUAUGGUGCUAGCUUGAUUUUACACAAGCUAUAAUUGGUGCUUACAAAUAUCCAGAUUGCCAUGCAUGAUGCAGAGUAUGUGAGAUAUAUGUUUGAUAAAAGUUGCCACCUUUAAUAUAUAUAUUAUAAAUAUGAUGUUGAAGACUUGUAUUAUCCUGCUAAGUUUGAGUUCAUUUUAUGGAUUGAUGUCUUUGAUUCUUAUGAUCACUCUGCACAGACAGCAAUCCAGGAGGGGCUAACUUUGCUUCUACAAAAAUAAGAUACUGUUUUUCCAGUUGAAUAAACUUUUUAUACUCCAUGCGUCCCAAUUUAUCUUAUCUCUCUUGUUUGACUUUUGGUGUUUAGAUUUAGCGAAUUUUGACUAAAAUUUACAUAUAUAAAAUAAUUAGACUUUAAAAUGUAUUCUUUGGAUUUUCAAUAUCAGUAAGAAUGAGUACAUGCCUCACCAUUAAGUCAUCUUUAACCGAAUUAUUUUCCUUGAUUACUUUUGGACAAACAUGAUAUAUAUGCUUUACGUGAUUAUAAUAGAUUAUUAGUUGUAUUUGUGCAUGUUUAUAUAUCCUGAGACCCUUCAAUAAUUUUAAUCCAUUUUUUUAUAUUAAAUUAUUUACUUAUCAUUUUCAAUCCACUUCUUUAUUUUAAGUAAUACUGUAAGUCAUUUUUUUAAAACUCGGCCUCUAAUUCUCGACAUAUGAUUUGGAUUUGAAGUCUGUGAAUUGAUUAUUUGAAUACUUUGUCUGUGUAAAAGACUUGAUGCACGACCACGAGUGAUAUCACUACUUGGGUUUUCUUUAAUAAAAAGAUUUGUGUCCAUGAGCACGUGAUAGAUUACUAAAAUUGAUAAGUCAAAGUGUCUGGUUAAAGUCAAGUGUUGAUGAGUGGUGACUCUUAUGAGGUGGAAAUGAUGGGCCUGGGCGAAGCGAAUGAUACCAGCAUUUGAUAUACAUAGGUUGCAAUGAGAUGACAAUAAAAUGGAUGGAAAUGACGGGGUUGAGAGUAAUUCAUGUGAGAUAGAUGUUUGGCCUUGUCUUCAAACAUUAACGUCCGACAUCAUUUCAGUUAUAAACUUUUUAGCAAAUAAUUUUUUCUUUUUAUAAGUUCCAAGAAUAGGUUUUUUAUUCAAGAAAUACUCAAAAUAUCUUCAAAUUAAUAAAACAUGAUAUAUAUAAUAUUUAAAUUAUGAGCCUUUUAGCAGAUAAAUUUUUCUUCGUAGAAGUUAAAAGAGUACUUUUUCAUUCUAGAAAAACUUAAAAUAUCUUCAGGUCAAUAAAACAUGAAAUAUAUGUUAAAAGUUGUGUCAUUUUCAUUUUCAUAUUUUACAUGUAUACUAGAAUGAAUAGUUAUUGUUUAUUUAAUUCAUGUGAAGUUCACUUUCUCUGCGUGAUUGUGUUUUAGUUGUUUAGAAUUAAAAGUUUAAAAGAGUGAAUUAUUGAUUCAUAUAUUUUCUCUCUCACAAUUUUUGACUGUUGGAUUUAUUGGAUAAAUUGAUGGAACUUUGAUCAUAAUUUAUAUAUUACUAGCUUUUAAGAUGGGUAUAUAGUUCGUAACUUAUUAUUUAUAAUUUAAAUUUUAACAUUAUUUUAUUAGUAUUUUAGUAUUAAUAGAUUGAAUUUUAAUUAAAUUAUAUCAUUCAACUGACUAUACUUUCUCCUAAUUACUUGAAAAUAGACAAACCCUAAUAUAUAUAUAUAUAUAUAUAUAUAUAUGUGUGUGUGUGUGUGUGUGUGUGUGUGUGUGUGUAUAUAUCAAGAUUUUAGUACAUUUAAUCCGAAUUUAGUACACGUAGAUUAAAAAAUAAAAAAAUCAAAAAAUUCAAAUCUUUUCUAAACAUAGACGAUCGUGUAAUACCUUUGAAAGAUUCAAUAAAUCAAUCGAAUUUCAACGUAAUUUUGUAAUCUUGGUUUUUUGACAACAAUAACUUUUAAGAUUAGAGUUAGAAUGAGUUAUGUAAUAGUUCGUGUUUAUAUCGAGAUAGAACACGUUAAAAUUAAAAAGAGUUAUACGAAAGUUCUUGUUAAAAGAAGAUAUUGAAAAUUGUAUAUUUAUAAUUUUAUUUAUAACAUCAUUAUACAUAUUUUAAUGAGAUAUUAUAUGAUAAUGGAUUGUUAUGAGUGUUUUUAGUAUUUGAAAUUGUUUAACAAUAUAAUACCAAUAGACUCCACAUUUGUAGACUUGUAGUAUCAAAAAGAGAGUAACAAACAAAAAAAUAUAACUAAAACCUUGGACUACAAAUAUAACUAAAACCUUGGACUAAAACCUUGUUGUCUUAUUAUAGUAUAGUAAGUAUAGAUUCUUUCCGUUUCAUGUUUGUGUGAUUGUGAUUUUAGUUGUUUAGAAUUGAAAGUUUAAGAAAAUUUAUCGCCAUUUGAAUACCAUUAGAUUUUAAUAAAUUUUAUAUAAUCACAAUUAUAUAUCGGAUUUUAAUAUAUAUUUAAAAUUUUAGUCGAAUAACAUAGAUUUUAUAGUAUAAUAUAAAAUCCUAAUUGAAUAUUCCAAGAUUCUGAUAAUUUUUUAAAAUCUUACUUGAAUCUCUCUUGAUAUCAUAAAUAUUUCUUUUUAAAUUUCCAAUUAAAUAUAGGCUCUGUGAUAUUUAUUGGAAUCGGAUUCAAAUAAAAUCUGAUCAAAAUUUAGAAAGAUUUGAAAAAGUUCUUAACAAAUUUACAGUUACGAACUAUCUCGAAAGUUUUGAAAUUUAAAUAUUGCUCACUGUAUUUACGUUCAAUGUUUGCACAAAUUUUGAGAUUUUUAUAAAAUAUAGUUUCAUAAUAUGAAAAUUUUCUUCUUCUGAAUAUACAUUUAUACGUUAAAUUUUUUUCAGGAAAAAAAUUAAAAAAUAUUAUAAAAUUAUAUUGUAAAUGAAUCUUAAAAAACGUUUCAAAAAGUAACGUAGAUCCGAGAGAUGAGAGGCGGAAGUGACUGAAAAGCGUGUAAGAAUUAUUGAGAUUUGAGAGGGACCCACCAAUUGUUUUUCUCGCAACGCGUGUUAGUUGCCGUGCAACCAAUAAAAAGCAUUUCACGCAAUAUAUAUGACAAAGUGAGAAACAGAGAAAGUGAGUGAAUAAUAAUGGCGUUCACCUUAUCAGAGAUAGCAGUAGCAAUAUUAGUGGUGGCAACUACGACUGUAGCAUGGAGAGUUCUUAACUGGGUCUGGUUCAGGCCAAAAAAAUUCGAAAAACACCUGAAAAAACAAGGCUUUCAUGGCAAUUCGUAUCGCUUUCUGUAUGGAGAUACCAAGGAACACAUGUCUAUGUUAAUGGCAACAAGAUCAGAACCCAUUCCCAUCUCUCAUGAUGUUCCUUCUCGCACCGCUCCCUUUCUAUGCAAGCUCGUCCGCGAAUAUGGUACGUAGAUUACUUUAAUUCAUCAGCCAGACUGGAGUGUUUUCCACUCAAAUCUUAACGAAAGUAACUUGUUAGUAUUUUUAGUCUGGCGUUUCUUGUUUGAUGUAGCUCGUGGAUACAGUUAUGUUCUUAGUAACAGCGGUUGAGAAGGUUUUUUACUCGUGAUUUAAUAAAAACUCAGCAAUUCAAGCAAAAAUACUUUGGAUUCCUAUCUAAAAAAUUGAUUUCAGACUUUUAAGUUGCUGUACAUCAAAGGUUAUGCCCUGUUUGGGAAUUAGCGGUUAGCGGAUUGAAUUAGAUGUUUUGACUAACUGAUUGAAGUAAAUGUUUUGACUAGCGGAUUGAAUUAGCUGUUUCGGAAAAUUGUUUGGUAAAUAGCUGAUUGAUUAGCUUUUUCUGACACAAACCAAAACCUCUAACCCAAAAGGCUCAUCAAAGUAGCUUUUUCAAAAUUAGCUUUUUGGAUCCAAACCUCUAUUUUAAUCCGCUAAUACCAAACACUAAUAUUAGUGGAUUCUAGUGGUCUAACCUCUAAUUUUGCCCCAAACCUCUAACUUUUAAAGAGGGCCUAUGUGUCCCGAUUGCCAGCCACAAGACUAAAAAUAAGAAGAUAUAGAAAAGCUUAAUUCCUUUAGGACAUGUUUGUUUCGAGUGAUUAUAAUCGCCGAAUUAUUACCUUAUUUAUCUCAAUUGCAAAAGAUUAUAAUUCCUUGAAUUCAUAUCCCAGUCCCUGUUUUAGUCCAUUUGAAUUAGACUAUAAUAUCAUGUGAGAUUUUAUCAUUAUAAAUAUGUUUUUUACAAAAAAAUUUGACAUUUAUGUGGUAUUUAGAUAUUUAACCAGGCCAAACUUAUCAUAUUCGAGCUUAAAUAGCUUUUGUCAAUAUGUGAUAGUCGUAGAACUAGAAUAUAUUAAACUUUUGCGAGCUGGUUGAGCUCGAGCCGAAUUUUUUAGUCGAUAUCAAAGUCGAGCCUAACAAUUAUACUCAACUGAGCUCGAUUACACACUUCUGUUUGACUCUAAAGUUGCAGGGGUAAUAAUUAUAUUUUUGGAGGAGCCAGAGUGUUUAUGGUUAUAAUAUAUAUAUGGUCAGCGGAAUGUUUUGUAUUCAAUAUUGAUACAUUUUAUCUCUUUGUUUGAAUAUAUAUUGUGUUUUAAGGUUAUAGUACUGCGUUUGCAGGUAAAAGAACCUUUUUCUGGCUUGGACCAGUACCAAGGAUAUCUAUUAUGAAUCCGGAAAUGGUAAAAGAGGUUCUAAAUCAUAAUUUUGACUAUCCAAAAACUAAGUUACACCCAAUUUUUAAGAUGUUUGUACAAGGCCUCCCAUCAAUUGACGGAGGUAAGUGGACUACACACAGAAGACUUCUCAAUCCUGCUUUCCAUACUGAAAAGUUGAAGGUAAUUAUUUCUUUAAAUGCUAAUAUUUGCAUGCUCUACUUCAAUUUAUCUGAUUAAUAUUGUUGUAUUUGCAGGGUAUGCUACCAGCAUUUGAUUUGUGUUGUCAUGAGAUGACUAUAAAAUGGAUGGAAAUGAUCGGAGAGGAGAGAAAUUCAUGUGAGAUAGAUGUUUGGCCUUCCCUUCAAACAUUAACGAGUGAUGUCAUUUCGCGUACGGCAUUUGGUAGUAGCUAUCAAGAGGGACAAAAAGUAUUUGAAUUACAAACUGAACAAGCUGACCACGCGUUUAAGGCCGUGCAGUCAGUUUACCUACCUGGAUCAAGGUAAAGUCUUAUUAUAUACUUAUCAUUAGGUGAUAUGGUUAAUUUUGUAUUGUCUGAAAUCUAUAGAACAGUGUACACAAAAGAAACGGAAGAGUCACCAAUUUUUGUGUUCAGGUAUUUACCAACUAAGAGGAACAAGAGGAUGAAGGAAAUAGACAAAGAAGUGCGAUUUUUACUAGGAGGUAUUAUUGAUAAAAAGAUGAAAGCCAUGAAAGCAGGAGAGGAUGGCACAAAUGACUUGUUGGGAAUAUUGUUGGAAGCCAACUCUAAAGAACUCGGACAGGGUAACAGAAAUGUUGGAAUGAGUAUUGAUGACGUAAUUGAAGAAUGCAAGGUGUUCUAUGUUGCUGGCCAAGAGACCACCUCAAUUUUGCUUGUGUGGACAUUGGUCUUAUUGAGUAUGUAUCCGGAUUGGCAAGAUCGGGCUAGAAAAGAGGUUUUGCAAGUAAUUGGUGAUGACAAGGCCGAUAUGAGUCAUCUUAAUCAUUUGAAAAUAGUAAGUACUUUAUUGUUCAUGUAACUUAAGGCAGAAACGUAGUGUUAGUAUCUGAUUAAAAGAUUGCAUAACAAUUAUAUAUUACAUAUAUUUCUCUUUUUUGUUUACAACAGGUGACUAUGAUUCUGUACGAGGUUCUGAGAUUAUAUCCACCAGCUUCUGCGCUAAUUCGACAGAUAAACAAGGAAAUUACUUUGGCAGAUAUCACCUUACUACCAGGAAUGCAAAUUGUGUUGCCGAUAAGUCAAAUUCAUCAUGAUCAUGAUAUUUGGGGGGCUGAUGCAGAAGAGUUUAAACCUGAAAGAUUCUCAGAAGGCGUUUCAAAAGCCACAAACAAUCAUGUAGCUGCAUUUUUUCCGUUUGGUGGGGGGCCAAGGAUCUGCAUUGGUCAAAACUUUGCUUUACUGGAAGCAAAACUAGCCAUGGCGACGAUCUUAAGAAAGUUC
rnacentral:lncRNA from 1 species